UGAUAUUCCUCAGUUGAACAUUCUUUGU
rnacentral:piRNA from 1 species